rnacentral:rRNA from 1 species
AUGAACGCUGGCGGCGUGCCUAAUCCAUGCAAGUCGAGCGAACGGACGAGAAGCUUGCUUCUCUGAUGUUAGCGGCGGACGGGUGAGUAACACGUGGAUAACCUACCUAUAAGACUGGGAUAACUUCGGGAAACCGGAUCUAAUACCGGAUAAUAUUUUGAACCGCAUGGUUCAAAAGUGAAAGACGGUCUUGCUGUCACUUAUAGAUGGAUCCGCGCUGCAUUAGCUAGUUGGUAAGGUAACGGCUUACCAAGGCAACGAUGCAUAGCCGACCUGAGAGGGUGAUCGGCCACACUGGAACUGAGACACGGUCCAGACUCCUACGGGAGGCAGCAGUAGGGAAUCUUCCGCAAUGGGCGAAAGCCUGACGGAGCAACGCCGCGUGAGUGAUGAAGGUCUUCGGAUCGUAAAACUCUGUUAUUAGGGAAGAACAUAUGUGUAAGUAACUGUGCACAUCUUGACGGUACCUAAUCAGAAAGCCACGGCUAACUACGUG